AUGAGAUUUUUUUUUUUUAGAUUUUAUUUAUUCAUGAGAGAGAGAGAGAGAGAGAGAGGCAGAGACAGAGGCAGAGGGAGAAGCAAGCAGGCUCCAUGCCGGGAGCCCGACGUGGGACUUGAUCCUGGGACUCCAGGAUCGCGCCCUGGGCCAAAGGCAGGUGCUAAACCGCUGAGCCACCCAGGGAUCCCGAUAUGUGCAUUUUUAAAUUUCUGCAGCGACUGCCCAGUGCCCGUCCAGAGGGCCUGGGUGGGGGAGCCUGUUUCCAUGCCCUCGCCCGCCCCAGCAAGGACACAAUGUGUCAGGGGAAGCAAGUCCCAGACGAGUUGCAGAUAAACCUGCCAGUAAUUUUCGCGAAUGAGCCGUGGAACACAUAAAGGCCAGAGGAUGGAAAACGCUCCGGGUUUGAUAAAAGGAGUUCUUGGCUCGGAAUCCUCCCUCCUGCUAGCCCCGCCGAGAUCCACCCGGAGAGGGCCUGAUGGAUUGAGGAAAACGAAAUGAGACCAACGUGAGUCUCCUUUCAAGGGCUGUGCUAAUAUAAAACCAAACGACUUGAACUUGUUCCAAGAGGGGAUUAAAGCAACAUGUUAUUUUGAGUGAUUGCUUAAUUUAUUGAGCUGCGGCUAGAUCUGUAACAAAAUACAGCCCUUGCAACUGAUAACCUCCUGCUGCAUUUGAACUUCUUACAAUUAAGGAAUAUUUUCCAAGAGUUUCUCUGGAACGGCUUCGCAUUUUUAAUCUCUGUGGUGGGGUGCUUCUGAGCACUCAAUUUCUGGGCAAGUUUUUGGGUUUCUUUUCUUUCUUCUUCUUCUUCUUUUUUUUUUUUUCCCCCAAGAGUGACAGGCUGAUGUUAAUAGGAAAAGGAAGGAGCAUUUUAUUGACUGUCUUGUGUGUGCCAUGCGCUUGAUAUACAUUAUCUCUAAUCCUGACAAUAACCCAAUGAAGAGAGUCUUAUUAGUACCUGUUUUACGGAUGUGAAGCUCAUAGAUGUGAAGCCAUUUUCCAGAGUGGCGCUGUCCAAGACCGUAGCUGCUAGUCAUGUGUGGCUACUUUUGUGUAAAUUAGUUAAGAGUUAAGAAAUCUGAAAAUUAAAAAAAAAAAAAAAGAAAUCUGAAAAUUCACUGCCUGGGUUGCACCAGCAACUAGUUCAGUGGGGCUGUGGCUACCUAUUGGACACCAUUGACGUAGACCAUUUCGAUUAGUGCAGAAAG
rnacentral:lncRNA from 1 species